UACGAAGGGGGCUAGCGUUGUUCGGAAUUACUGGGCGUAAAGCGCGCGCAGGCGGCUGUCCAAGUCAGUGGUGAAAGCCCGGAGCUCAACUCCGGAACUGCCAUUGAAACUGUUUAGCUUGAGGACGAGAGAGGUGAGUGGAAUUCCCAGUGUAGAGGUGAAAUUCGUAGAUAUUGGGAAGAACACCGGUGGCGAAGGCGGCCCACUGGAUCGGUACUGACGCUGAGGUGCGAAAGCGUGGGGAGCAAACAGG
rnacentral:rRNA from 1 species